GCGAAGGUGGCGAAAUUGGUAGACGCACCAGGUUUAGGUCCUGGCGCCGCAAGGUGUGGGGGUUCGAGUCCCCCCCUUCGCA
rnacentral:tRNA from 1 species